UCCCUUCAGGAUGACUUGCUCCCUGUGAAGACAGCUCUUUGUUUUACACUGUUCAAAGUGUAACUAAAAUUCUCUUUCAAGAGUUAUUCUUGUUCUUUCUCAUCUUCCCAGUUCUUUCCUUUAGAAUCUUGCUGUUUUGCCUAGGCUGGCCUCAACUUCCUGGGUUCCAGUGAUCCUGCCACCUCAGACUCUUGGGUAUCUGGGACUACAGAUUUCCUUCUUUCUUCCAUUUCACAAGAGCUGAAUAACAUCAACAGUCUCACAUGGUGCUUGCCAUUUGCUGAGGAGUCUGUAGGACCAACAGACUUCUGGGCCUAAACACUACAAGCAGCUGCCUUGCUUCUUCUGUGGGGACAAUUGAGAAAAGGAUAUUGUACACCAUCUCUAGUAACCCAAGACUGAAUGGGAAGAGAUUCUGGGAAAUAUAGUUCCAGCUUAUCGAAGCACUCAUGGCAUAGAACCACCAAAGAAGGUGUCAAUUUCUCACUGUGAUCAGAAGGUCCUCCCUACACCUGCUGCCCCCAACUUUCAUCUUUCACAAGAGUUUUCCCCAAUAAAUAUCUCCCAUGUGUA